UACAGAGGAUGCAAGCGUUAUCCGGAAUUAUUGGGCGUAAAGCGUCUGUAGGUGGCUUUUUAAGUCCGCCGUCAAAUCCCAGGGCUCAACUCUGGACAGGCGGUUGAAACUACCAAGCUGGAGUACGGUAGGGGCAGAGGGAAUUUCCGGUGGAGCGGUGAAAUGCGUAGAGACCCGGAGGAACACCAGUGGCGAAGGCGGCGUCCUGGCCUGCGACUGACGCUGUGGCGCGAAAGCUAGGGGAGCGAACGGG
rnacentral:rRNA from 1 species